rnacentral:rRNA from 1 species
AUUGAACGCUGGCGGCAGGCCUAACACAUGCAAGUCGAACGAGUGGCGGACGGGUGAGUAAUGUCUGGGAAACUGCCUGAUGGAGGGGGAUAACUACUGGAAACGGUAGCUAAUACCGCAUACCAUCAGAUGUGCCCAGAUGGGAUUAGCUAGUUGGUUGGGUAACGGAUCACCAAGGCGACGAUCCCUAGCUGGUCUGAGAGGAUGACCAGCCACACUGGAACGGAGACACGGUCCAGACCCUUACGGGAGGCAGCAUUGGGGAAUAUGGCACAAUGGGCGCAAUCCUGAUGCAGACAGGCCGCGUGUAUGAAGAAGGCCUUCGGGUUGUAAAGUACUUUCAGCGGGGAGGCGUUACCCGCAGAAGAAGCACCGGCUAACUCCGUGCCAGCAGCCGCGGUAAUUC